CCCUGCCAUUUGUACACACCGCCCGUCGCACCUACCGAUUGAAUGGUCCGGUGAAGCCUCCGGAUUGGACGCGCCGGCCCUGCCGCGCGGCCGAGAAGUUGGCUAAACCUUACCAUUUAGAGGAAGGUGAAGUCGUAACAAGGUUUCCGU
rnacentral:rRNA from 1 species